rnacentral:sRNA from 1 species
UAAAAAAACUUUUUACCGAAGACAGUAGGGGAUUCGUCUUAAUAAUCCUACCGAGGGAAGUUAUAAAUAAUCUUUAUACUUUCCUUACGGAAAGUUUUUUUAU